CCUACGGGAGGCAGCAGUUAGGAAUCUUCCACAAUGGGCGAAAGCCUGAUGGAGCGACGCCGCGUGAGGGAUGAAGGUUUUCGGAUCGUAAACCUCUGAAUCAGGGACGAAAGGCGCUUUAAGCGAGAUGACGGUACCUGAGUAAUAGCACCGGCUAACUCCGUGCCAGCAGCCGCGGUAAUACGGAGGGUGCAAGCGUUACCCGGAAUCACUGGGCGUAAAGGGCGUGUAGGCGGGAUGUUAAGUCUGGCUUUAAAGACCGGGGCUCAACCUCGGGCAUGGGCUGGAUACUGGCAUUCUAGACCUCUGGAGAGAUACUCGGAAUUUCUGGUGUAGCGGUGGAAUGCGUAGAUACCAGAAGGAACACCGAUGGCGAAGGCAGAGUAUUGGACAGAAGGUGACGCUGAGGCGCGAAAGUGUGGGGAGCGAAACCGGAUUAGAUACCCGGGUAGUCCACACCCUAAACGAUGUACGUUGGAUGACAGCAGGAUGNUGUUGUUGUGUAGUAACGACGAUAACGUACCGCCGUAGGAGUACGGCCGCGAGUAGAACGUACAAUAGAAGUAGACGACGUAGAGACGUCGACGACGACGACGACGAGGGAGAGG
rnacentral:rRNA from 1 species